CAACAGAAUAUUGAUGUUAAAUAUAUAUAACAAAAAAGGGUAGUUAUAUGUUAUCUCAAUGAUAAUGUUGCAGCAUACAGAUAUUGAGAAGUUCAUAUUUGUUUUCAAUUCUAGGCCUUGCGACUAGUGUAGUUAAUUGAAUCAAUUGCUUACAGAAUUUAGCAUAAAAGUGAAGGGAAGCAAGACAUUUCAUGCCUCAAAACAAGAAGGUAAUCGUGAAGGAUUUUAUCACUUCAUAUUUAAAUACUUAAAUGGCUUAUUACUCCGCUUUCAUAUCUAAAUGUCUUCAAUCCUAAUUUGAAUGAACAUGUUGAUAUCCAUCUCAAUUAAUACUAUGGGAAAUUGUUUCAGACCUAAACUAUUAUUUGGCAUUUUUACCAAUUUUCAAAUAUCUUAUUUACCAUCUUUUAUCGAUUUCUGAAGUAUUUUAAAACUAUAUUUUAUUUAAUCAACCCAGUAUUUGAACCAGAAAAUCCAGUAGCUGUGUUGGGAAACCCCUAUGACCCAGUCCCUAUGUUGAGUGUUUGCCUGUGUCAAGUUUAAAAGGAACAUGAAAAGCAUGGGAAUUCAAUUGAACAAUUUUUCGAAGUAUUUUCAUGCAUAAAAACACAUGAAGCGUUGUAUGCACUAACCUUCACGAAAGGUGUUGCUCCUGGGGCAGAAGCACGAUAAAAUGUUCCAGCCAUGGGACAUUUUACUGGAGGAUGUGAUGACUUUGGUUUCGCCAGAGCAGGUGGUGCUGGCACUGGAUUUGGAGUUGAAGGAAUGUGAGAAGCAGGAGCAGGGACAUUUGAAGGAGGCAAUUGUGGCGAAACCAUAGCCUGCUCAGUGGAAGGUUGUGCGUAAAAAACUGGAGCUGCAGCUGAUGGCUGUGGCAAUGCCUCCUUUUUUCUUAUAAGGACUUCACAGUCCAUUUGCUUAAGC
rnacentral:lncRNA from 1 species